rnacentral:rRNA from 1 species
GCAAGUCGAGCGAGAUUUAUGACUCCGGUUAUAAUGACCGUGGCACAGGGGGGCGUAACGCGUAUGCUACCUACCCUUUACUGGGGGAUAGUCCGGAGAAAUCCGGAUUAAUACACCAUAGUAUCACAGAUUGGCAUCAUGAAGUGAUGAAAGAUUUAUUGGUAAAGGAUGGGCAUGCGUGACAUUAGCUAGUUGGUGAGGUAACGGCUCACCAAGGCCACGAUGUCUAGGGGUUCUGAGAGGAUGAGC